CUUUGAGCCAUAGUUUAUUAAAUCUGGUAUAGGUUUGUAUAUGAUUCAAUUAAUCUGCCUAAAAUUUGUUAGUUGGGUUUGGAGUUAGGUUAGAUGCAAACUUAAGCCACAUGAUCUCUUCCUUGAUCUUCUUGGUAAAAGAAACCAGCAAAAGCAGGGAGGGUUACCGGAGGGGAGACAAUAGGAAUAGAUGACGGCGAGUUAAGGAAGCUAACCUCCGAUGCUUAAGCCGUAGUUCUUGACGUGAAAUACAAGCCUUCUAACAUGUCAACCAUGAAGAACAACAACAACAAGAAAAAUAUGAAGAUGAGUUCGGGACAAGAGAGUGGUAAUGGUACUACUACUAACAUCGUUGUUACAGAGACAAAGAAUAAAAAGGUGGAGAGGAAGGAAUCGAUGGACGUGGACCAGUGCGCGGAAGCUUUCAUCGCAAAUUUCAGAAAGCAGCUUCUUCUCCAGCGUCUUGAAUCCAUCGACAACAUGCUCUCUCGGGGCCUUUAAACCUAUUUAUGAAUGCACACUUGUUUGUAUGUAUUACUACUCAUGUAUUAUUUAUUUAUUUGGUUGACUCUGAAAGGCCUAGUAUGCAGUAUUUGAGAGAGAAUAAUUGUCAUUUUAGGUUACACUCCACUUUCAUGGGAUUUCUAUUUAAAACUAGUUGAUAAUGAAUUAUAUGUUUAUUUA